CCUACGGGAGGCCGCAGUGAGGAAUAUUGGUCAAUGGGCGAGAGCCUGAACCAGCCAAGUCGCGUGAGGGAGUACUGUCCUAUGGGUUGUAAACCUCUUUUGUCGGGGAGCAAAAGCCGGACGUGUCCGGCUGUGAGAGUACACGAAGAAAUAGCAUCGGCUAACUCCGUGCCAGCAGCCGGGGUAAUACGGUGGAGGCGAGCGUUAUCCGGUUUUAUUGGGUUAAACGGGUGCGCAGGCGGAUGUUUAAGUCAGCGGUAAAAUCGUGGGGCUCAACCCCAUCCAGCCGUUGAAACUGGGGAUCUAGAGUGUGCGAGAGGUAUGCGGAAUGCGUGGUGUAGCGGUGAAAUGCAUAGAUAUCACGCAGAACCCCGAUUGCGAAGGCAGCAUACCGGUGCACAACUGACGCUCAGGCACGAAAGCGUGGGUAUCGAACAGGAUUAGAUACCCGUGUAGUC
rnacentral:rRNA from 1 species